rnacentral:rRNA from 1 species
GACGAACGCUGGCGGCGUGCUUAACACAUGCAAGUCGAACGGAAAGGCCCUGCUUUUGUGGGGUGCUCGAGUGGCGAACGGGUGAGUAACACGUGAGUAACCUGCCCUUGACUUUGGGAUAACUUCAGGAAACUGGGGCUAAUACCGGAUAGGAGCUCCUGCUGCAUGGUGGGGUUGGUAAGUUUCGGCGGUUGGGGAUGGACUCGCGGCUUAUCAGCUUGUUGGGGGGGUAGUGGCUUACCAAGGCUUUGACGGGUAGCCGGCCUGAGAGGGUGACCGGCCACAUUGGGACUGAGAUACGGCCCAGACUCCUACGGGAGGCAGCAGUGGGGAAUAUUGCACAAUGGGCGGAAGCCUGAUGCAGCAACGCCGCGUGCGGGAUGACGGCCUUCGGGUUGUAAACCGCUUUCGCCUGUGACGAAGCGUGAGUGACGGUAAUGGGUAAAGAAGCACCGGCUAACUACGUG